CUCCGGCGCGCCCUGCCCCACUCACCCACUCCCCGAGACCCGCGGCAAGAGCCGAGGGAGGCGCAGGCCCGCAGCGAGGCCCAGCCGUCCACGGGGAGACGACGCGCGCGGGCGGAAGUGCGCCGCCGGCCGUGCCCGCGUGAGGCCGCUCUAGGAGGCGCCGGAGGUCCGCGCUCGGUGGUUCCCGCUGGAGCUCAACCGCGCCUGGAGGCUGGGCAGCGGCCCUGGGCAUCUGCUCUGUCCUGCAGUGGGGCUCCCUCUCCUUCACUCGCCCGCACCAGCGCGCUGGGUUCGAUGGUGGCGGCAACCCGUGAGGACCAGAGCCCCCAAGGCUUGGGACUUCCCUGGUGGCGCAGUGGUUAAGAUUCCCCCUGCCAAUGCAGGGGACAUGGGUUCGAGACCUGGUCCGGGAGGAUCCCACAUGCUGAAGAGCAGCUAAGCCCAUGUGCCACAACUACUGAGCCUGCACUCUAGAGCCUACGAGCCACAACUACUGAGCCCACGUGCCACAACUACUGAAGUCCGUGCAGCUAGAGCCUGUCCUCUGCAACAAGAGAAGCCACCACAAGGAGAAGCCUGCACACCGCAACGAAGACCCAACUCAGGCAAAAAAUAAUAAUAAUAAUUUUAAAAUUUCAUGCUCCUAUGCAGUGCUAGAUGCACUGGCAUUUGCUCACAUGCUCAAAGUGGUCAAAGUAUCCAACAGCUUCAUAACAGGAAUAGAAGUGCUGUGGAUGUGAGGUUUUUAAAACUACGUGGAUAGGGGGAUCAAGAUCCCAUUCUCCCCCCGACCCCGACUGCUUUGCUCAGUAAACCAUUAGAUCAUUUA